AUGCCUGCCAGCAGCACCGAGCCGACGAAGCACAUUACCCUGCACAACUUCCUGAAGCAGCAGCAGCUGCUGCAGCACCGCCUCAAGCCCACUGCCGUGCUCUGGGGCUGGCCGGCGACGCCGCGCCCGGCGCCGGACGACGCGGCGGACGACGCCGACGGCAUGGGCGGCGGGGCGUGGCCGCCGCGCUCGUACACGUGCGCCUUCUGCCGCCGCGAGUUCCGGUCCGCGCAGGCGCUGGGCGGGCACAUGAACGUGCACCGCCGCGACCGCGCCAAGCUGCGCGGCCAGUUCGGCGCCGCGGCCGCGCAGCUGGGCGCGGCGGCCGUCUCCGAGGCGCCCGCCACCGCCGCGGCGACGACCGAGUACGCGCUGCUGUACCCCGUGCUCAACUCCACCGCCGCCGGCGCGCGGGCCGUGUUCAUCCCCAGCGGCGACGUGCUGCUCUCCACGCCCGUGGCAAUGGCGCACGGCCACCGGUGCCAGCAGAGCGACGACGAGAACGACACGGACAUUGACCUGGAGCUGCGCCUCGGGUGGCCGUGA
rnacentral:rRNA from 1 species